GUGUUAAUUAGUCAACCGGAGCAUUUGAUGUCAAAUGCUCCGGUUGACAAAUCAACACGAGCAUUUGUUAAUAAAUGCUACGGUUAAUCAACGGAGCACAAGUGGAUGGUUAAGACUUAAGCGCAAGUUUUUUUCUUUGGUGAAAUUCAAAAAGUUCAGUCCCCCCUCUUAUGUCCUCCCACGAAACCAAAGCAUUCACCACUAAAGAGAGAGAAAGCACUUACCAAUCGAGGAAGACGAACAUAGAUACCUCCGCCGGUUACCGCGCCGCCGUCUGCUACCGAGGGUUGAUUUGAAUUUUCUAUAAUUUUUUUGGAUUUCAUGUUAGUCUAUGGUUUUCCGUUUCAUGUAGUUGCUGCAAGGGCGUGGAAUGUUGCAAACCAGGCAUAUUGAAGAGAAAGAACCAUCAUCUUCUGGGAGGACAACUGAGCCAGUGAACCAUCAACCUCAAGCUUUUGAAGCACAAAUUGCUGGAAAAUGGACUGAAGCAGCCAAGGACAUGGAUAUGCUAACUUGAUUCAAAUCUUGGAAUCUCUCUUGAUGCAGAUUCAAGCUUGACAGCUGCAAAGGAACAGAAAUUUACCAUAUGCGAAAUAUCUCCAAAAUGGGGAUCUGCUGAUGAUUCCACAAAGGUCAGCUAAAUGAUGAACUUGAACACAAAAUCACUAUGAUGGAAACUUCAGUAAAUAGGUCAGGAGUGAUCUUGGAUUCUGUUCAGGCUUAUAUCAUGCAAGUAGACAAAGGAACGAAAGAGCUCUCUCUUGAAGCAGCAGGUCGAGUUUGGUGAGGGAGUGUGGUGUGUGUCUCGUAGCGGUGCCAGCGACGAUGCAUUGCAGUCAACUCUUGACUACGCUUGUGCAGUGGGUGCUGACUGUACCCCCAUUCAGCAGUCUGGACUAUGUUUCCUCCCUAACACUCUUCAGGCUCACGCCUCCUACGCCUUCAACAGCUUUUACCAGCGCAAUCAUAUGUCUGCUUCUUCUUGUGACUUCUCCGCCACUGCCACCCUCGCUCAAACUGAUCCCAGCUAUGGAUCUUGCGUCUACCCUGCUUCUCUAAGGUACAUAUAUGAUAUAAUGAUCUGGAUCAUCAUCAAGUUGCCGCCCUUGCAAGUUGCUUUAUCCCCGGAGAUAAGUCAAAUGAGCAGAUUCAUCUGCGAGCGGAACUUGCAAAACCCUUACAACAACUCCAAGACAGUGCAUGAAAAAUAGCACAGUGGUCAGACAUCAUAUUGCAGAAUACUUGAGUGCUUGUUGCUUACUGCAGCUAUAGUUGCACCUUAUUGAAGUAUUUGGAUUGCAUUGGAGGCUGGUGUUGCAGUUUGGUGCGUGGGAUUCCAAAAAAUGUGAUGUCCUCAUAACAUUUAAGGAAUAUGUUCAUAUGGAUAUAUUAGUUUACCUUAAUGUUAAUUGUUAUUUAUUUGUAUUAUAUCUUGUAUUUAUGAACAAAAAUAUUAGAAAUGAAACUUUUAUCUACAUGUAAA